rnacentral:rRNA from 1 species
UGGGGCGAAGCCUGAUCAGCAAUGCCGCGUGAGUGAUGAAGGCCUUAGGGUUGUAAAGCUCUUUUACCCGGGAUGAUAAUGACAGUACCGGGAGAAUAAGCUCCGGCUAACUCCGUGCCAGCAGCCGCGGUAAUUACCGU